rnacentral:rRNA from 1 species
UACGAAGGGGGCUAGCGUUGCUCGGAAUCACUGGGCGUAAAGGGUGCGUAGGCGGGUCUUUAAGUCAGGGGUGAAAUCCUGGAGCUCAACUCCAGAACUGCCUUUGAUACUGAAGAUCUUGAGUUCGGGAGAGGUGAGUGGAACUGCGAGUGUAGAGGUGAAAUUCGUAGAUAUUCGCAAGAACACCAGUGGCGAAGGCGACUCACUGGCCCGAUACUGACGCUGAGGCACGAAAGCGUGGGGAGCAAACAGGG